UUCAAUGCCUAUCGAGCCUUCCUCAAGUGAUACUCCUCAGCAGAUAGAGUAUCUUUGGAAUAUAAAGUUUUCUUUCACGAGCAGUGAUGCUAUUGCAGUUAUAGUUUCCCUUCUUGAAAGCCCACUUGAAAUUUUGGAUUAGUAAGCAAAAAAAUUUCUUCUUCUGUUUUACCAAUGGACCCUUUAGCUGCUUACUUAAGUUAAGGUGCAGGAAAAAGGAAAAGAAAUUAGAUGUUGUUUGAAAGCCUGCCUAAAAUGUUGGUCAAUGAAAACGCAUGAGUACUGUUUACGAAACCAUCAGAAACAAAGUUGUAGCUAAGCUCGUUAGAUGCUGUGAAGUAGGACGUUCAUCUUUCAUCUACAUGUAAAGCAUUCGUGCCAUUAGAUUCCCUCUUUUUUUGUUAUUUUGAUAUCAGCAUUAAUGGUCAACCCUUCCAAUUUCAGUGAAUUAUUCACGGAGUAUGACUGGAAAUUGGUCCAGCUGGUAGUCACCUUUUUUCAUAACAUUCUUCCCAUCCAAGAUAUUUCAUCCCUACAAAAUGAUGCCAAUUUUUAUCAUUGAGACAGAUUUCUUGAAAUUUUGUUCCAUGAGAAUGUUAUUCUUAAUUAUAGUUAUAACUCAGCAGUUUGGUGGUUUCUUGGCUAUCUUCAUCGGGAUAACUUACUUCUAUUAGAAACUUUUCAUUACAUAUUUAUAGGUCAAGAACCAGAAUUACUUUCCAAAGCACAUUUGAAGGAUUCUGAGGAGGGUGGAGAUGCCAAGGCAAGCUUUGAUGAUCUCGGGUUCAUCAUGGAAGAGGAAGCCAACAAAAGAAGGGUUUCAA